GGCCUGAUAGCUCAACUGGUAGAGCACUGCACCAGCCUUGCAGAAGUCAGGGUUCAAAUGCCCGUUCAGGCCU
rnacentral:tRNA from 1 species